CAUGCAAGUCGAACGGCAGCACGGGGCGAACCUGGUGGGCGAGUGGCGAACGGGUGAGUAAUGCAUCGGAACGUGCCAUUGAGUGGGGGUAACGUAGCGAAAGUUACGCUAAUACCGCAUAUUCUGUGAGCAGGAAAGCAGGGGAUCGCAAGACCUUGCGCUCUUUGAGCGGCCGAUGUCAGAUUAGCUAGUUGGUGAGGUAACGGCUUACCAAGGCGACGAUCUGUAGCGGGUCUGAGAGGAUGAUCCGCCACACUGGAACUGAGACACGGUCCAGACUCCUACGGGAGGCAGCAGUGGGGAAUUUUUGGACAAUGGGGGCAACCCUGAUCCAGCCAUGCCGCGUGAGUGAAGAAGGCCUUCGGGUUGUAAAGCUCUUUCGGCCGGGAAGAAAUCGCAUGGGUUAAUACCCUGUGUGGAUGACGGUACCGGCAUAAGAAGCACCGGCUAACUACGUG
rnacentral:rRNA from 1 species